AUUAGCUUGCUAAGACGACCUAGUGGCAAACGGGUGAGUAACGCGUGGGCAACCGUGCCGGAAAGAUGGGGACAACAUCCCGAAAGGGGUGCUAAUACCGAAUGUGUACGAGGACGCAUGUUCCAUGUACUAAAGGAUUUUUCCGCUUUCCGAUGGGCCCGCGUCCGAUUAGCUUGUUGGUGAGAUAACGGCCCACCAAGGCGACGGAUCCGGUAGCCGGGCCUGAGAGGGUGAACGGCCACAUUGGGACUGAGACACGGCCCAGACUCCUACGGGAGGCAGCAGUGGGGAAUCUUCCGCAAUGGGCGAAAGCCUGACGGAGCAACGCCCGCGUGAGCGAAGAAGGCCUUCGGGCCGUAAAGCUCUGUUGCCGGGGAAGAGUGCUAUGGGGGAACCUGUAGAGGGACGGUACCCGGCGAGGAAGCCGCGGCUAACUACGUGCCAGCAGCCGC
rnacentral:rRNA from 1 species